AGUCCAUGGCUUGGGCAUUUCCUUAACAAAUCUGUAAAUCUCUUCAAAGCUUCGGCAAAUGACUCAUCAUAUUUUUGCCAGAAUGAAGUGAUUUCUUCCCUCAACUU